rnacentral:rRNA from 1 species
AUUGAACGCUGGCGGAAUGCUUUACACAUGCAAGUCGAACGGUAGAGGGGGCAACCCCUCGAGAGUGGCGAACGGGUGAGUAAUAUAUCGGAGCGUGCCCAGUCGUGGGGGAUAACGUAGCGAAAGUUACGCUAAUACCGCAUACGAUCUAAGGAUGAAAGAGGGGGAUCGCGAGACCUCGCGCGCUGGGAGCGGCCGAUAUCAGAUUAGUUAGUUGGUGGGGUAAAGGCUCACCAAGCCAACGAUCUGUAGCUGGUAUGAGAGGACGACCAGCCAGACUGGAACUGAGACACGGUCCAGACUCCUACGGGAGGCAGCAGUGGGGAAUUUUGGACAAUGGACGCAAGUCUGAUCCAGCCAUUCCGCGUGCAGGAUGAAGGCCCUCGGGUUGUAAACUGCCUUUGUACGGAACGAAAAGGUCUCUCUUAAUACGGGGGACUCAUGACGGUACCGUAAGAAUAAGCACCGGCUAACUACGUGCCAGCCGCCGCAGUAAAAC